rnacentral:rRNA from 1 species
CCCUUAGAUGUUCUGGGCCGCACGCGCGCUACACUGAUGCAUUCAACAAGCCUAGCCUUGACCGAGAGGUCCGGGUAAUCUUUGAAACUGCAUCGUGAUGGGGCUAGAUUAUUGCAAUUAUUAAUCUUCAACGAGGAAUGCCUAGUAAGCGUGAUUCAUCAAAUCGCGUUGAUUACGUCCCUGCCCUUUGAACACACCGCCCGUCGCUCCUACCGAUUGAAUGUGUUGGUGAGGAGCUCGGAUUGGCAGCAGUUGGUGGUUCGCCACCGGCUAUUGCUGAGAAGUCCUCCAAACCGCCCCAUUUAGAGGAAGGAGAAGUCGUAACA